rnacentral:rRNA from 1 species
CCUACGGGUGGCUGCAGUGGGGAAUAUUGGACAAUGGGCGGAAGCCUGAUCCAGCCAUGCCGCGUGUGUGAAGAAGGCCUUUUGGUUGUAAAGCACUUUAAGCGAGGAGGAGGCUACUAGUACUAAUACUACUGGAUAGUGGACGUUACUCGCAGAAUAAGCACCGGCUAACUCUGUGCCAGCAGCCGCGGUAAUACAGAGGGUGCACUGGGCAAUCGGAUUUACUGGGCGGAAUUCGUGCGCGGAUGUGAAAGCCCCGAGCUUAACUUGGGAAUUGCAUUCGAUACUGGGAAGCUAGAGUAUGGGAGAGGAUGGUAGAAUUCCAGGUGUAGCGGUGAAAUGCGUAGAGAUCUGGAGGAAUACCGAUGGCGAAGGCAGCCAUCUGGCCUAAUACUGACGCUGAGGUACGAAAGCAUGGGGAGCAAACAGGAUUAGAUACCCCUGUAGUC